GACGACCAAAAGAACUUUGUUGCAUUCGGUGGUGUUGGAGGCUUCGCUGGAGUAGGCGGAGGUCUUGGCACCGGUCUUGGGGGUGGACUCGGUGGGCUUGGUGGGCUUGGUGGUCUCGGUGGUGGUGGACUCGGUGGGCUCGGUGGACUCGGUGGUGGAUCUGGGUUAGGCGGAGGUGGAGGUUUGGGUGGUGGAGUUGGUGGUCUCGGGGGCGCUGGUGGCCUUGGCGGUGGAUGUGGAAGCUGUCCUUGAUCUCUUUUCGAGCUUUCUUUUGUUGUCAGUAUGAAUGUCGUUUUAGUUUAAUCAGUUGUGUUUGAGGAUGUGUUUCUUAAUUUUUACAAAUCAUAUGUUUGGGAGUGUCUACUACGUUUUGUACGUACAAUAGUUUUCUUUUUAAAGUCAGUAAUAAUUCAUUCUUCCGUUGUAUUAACGUUUCGUUGUGACGGAUUUUAGUCGUGAAUGCUACAACCGCUCCGUUUCUGAAAUACAAAUAAAAAUUAUGAGUAAUUGAGUUAUAUAUAAAAUAACCAAUUAGUGCAAUUUAUAAUCCAAAA
rnacentral:lncRNA from 1 species